GAUGAAGAACGUAGCGAAAUGCGAUAAGUAAUGUGAAUUGCAGAAUUCAGUGAAUCAUCGAGUCUUUGAACGCACAUUGCGCCCCCUGGUAUUCCGGGGGGCAUGCCUGUCCGAGCGUCAUUGCUGCCCUCAAGCACGGCUUGUGUGUUGGGCCCCCGUCCCCGGUUUCCCCCGGGGACGGGCCCGAAAGGCAGCGGCGGCACCGCGUCCGGUCCUCGAGCGUAUGGGGCUUUGUCACCCGCUCUGUAGGCCCGGCCGGCGCCAGCCGACACCCAACUUUAUUUCUAAGGUUGACCUCGGAUCAGGUAGGGAUACCCGCUGAACUUAAGCAUAUUAAUAAGCGGAGGA
rnacentral:misc_RNA from 1 species